CAAAGAGGAAAAUCAAAAACCCCAUUAAACCCUAAACUCAAAUAUUUAAUUAAAUACAAAUACUUUGUUUUUAAAGUAAAGAAAACACAUAUUCUCCCCUUUAGCAGGAAGUGGUGGUGUGGUCCAAUUAGCCCUCUUUGUAUUUAAUGGUUUCAAACCCUGGCUACCAGCUUUUCUCCAGCAACUCCCAGGGAUGAUGGCAGGUAAGAAAUAAAAAGACAAAGGUUAGUCAAAAAUCAAAGUAAUGAAGUGGUAUGAAUACAUAAGUAAACUAAAUGUGCGCGCUUACAAAUAGAACAAAUGUAUCCAAACCAAUCAAUAAAGUUAUUGGAAACUAAAGUGUGUUACUAUGUUCAAAUGAAAAAAUGAAGAGUUACUGACUUUAAAGUGUGGCCACGGGUUUGGCCAUCACAACUGCCAGACUCUGUAAUACUGUAAAUGAUCAGUGACUCAGGUUAACACUAAACUUUAAACGGUCCCUCUGUGUCUCUGUGUGUGCUGAACAUUUAGGAUUGAGUCAGGCUGCAUUGACUGUGGGACUUUUCUGUGUUAAAAGCAGGUUGAAGACGGCUCAGAAACAUUUGAAGAUUAAAAUUUACAUUUAUUUAUUAAUUAAUUAAUUUAUGGCUGCUGGUGGUUUGUAAAGCUUCUACUCAGCUGUAUUUUUGUUACUAAUUUAUGUUUGUUGUUGUUUAACACAGAUUUCAGAAGAGCGAAGAUGAGCACUGUUGCUUCAUCCUUAAUAGUUUAACUGGAUUGGAAAUCAAAAAAAUCCUGAUUCUUCAUCCACAGAAGUUUCAUUUGUCAGUGUCGGACUGCUGAGUCACCUGAAGAACUCAUUUCAUUCUCCACGAUGUUGAUUUACAGAAAUGUUUCACAGGAACUGAUUCCUCCCAAAGAUUGAACUAGUGUGUUUCCAUAGAUUAUCUCUGUAUGAAUGUACUUCAUAAAUGAAGGCAAGUGUUUGUCCUUUUAGUUCCUCAGGUACAGUACGUGAUAUUCAGGGCAGGCGGUCAACACUGGGGGAAGACAAGAAGCAGACGUACUUCCCAGAGGGAGCUGCAGUGAGGACACAGCCUGUCACUGAGGUCAGAGGAGGCGCUGGAAGGUUUCCCUAAUAGUUCCUGGUGAAUCAAAGCAGAACCAUAAAGGUUGCUGGACUGCAUGAUGGCCUUACCCCUGAGCAGUCAUCCUGUUAAAGGAGGAACCAGUUAGAAGCUGUUUUCAAAGUAGCUGAGCAGAUUUCAUCUCAACAGACAAAGAAGAUGUUUGGAGAAGAACUUCAGGCUGUGGACUGACAAGGUAUUUUUUUCUUGUUAUCAAAAGACAUUUGGAGUGACGGCUUCUACAACUGUGCUGAUGUGAAGCUUACUGCCUAAGAAGUCACAGUGUUGAUAUUCAGCACAAAGAGAAAAUCUCACUUGUUUGAAUUUAUUUACAAACAUCAUAGUUUUAUAAAUUCUGACUGUAAACAGCUUUUACAGCUUUGAUAUUGUUUGACACUCGAUAUCAGGUAUUUUUUAUAUUGAUACACUGACCAGUGUCACUUUAACUGUAACACCUUCAUUAUUUAGAUCCAACAUUUCUAAGAGAAAUAACUGAAUGUAAAAAAUGGCAGCCCUCAGGCCAGGUUUAAUUGAUAGAGAUUAUGAAAUUUAUGUAUCCCGGAUCAUUGUUAUUCAUCUAGUCCUGGCAGACUCACCCCUUCCUCCCAAGAUAACUGCAACCCAAAAGAAGUAGUGGGGGUAUUUACACACUCACAACCAGUGUGGGGUAGAAAGAGCCACCAAAAACCUGUCAGCCUGCACAGCUACAGAUGUGCUAAAAGCUAUAAGACUUGGAAGCUCUGCUUAUGGAGAAACUUUCUAAGCCUAACAGGGGACAGGUACUCCUGCCCAAAUAACAUGAUAUAACCCCACAUACAGCCCAGCCAUAAAGUGAACCAAGUCAUUUAGUUAAAGACAGUAUGGGACCAAAUGCAUCUAUCCAGCCUGCGCCAACCUGGCAUUUCUUCCUCCUGAAUUAAAUGAAUGAAUGGAUGAAAUUCAAAUGACUAUAAACCUAAAGCCACUAGUUCCCACACUGGAGUUCCUUGACACUGUGUUAACUGUACUGUAACAGGCUAAGCUACCUGAGAGACUGCACUGAACGAUUGUUUC